UACGUAGGGGGCAAGCGUUGUCCGGAAUUAUUGGGCGUAAAGCGCGUGUAGGCGGCUCGGUAAGUCUGCUGUGAAAGUCGGGGGCUCAACCCUCGGAUGCCGGUGGAUACUGUCGGGCUUGAGUACGGAAGAGGCGAGUGGAAUUCCUGGUGUAGCGGUGAAAUGCGCAGAUAUCAGGAGGAACACCAAUUGCGAAGGCAGCUCGCUGGGACGUUACUGACGCUGAGACGCGAAAGCGUGGGGAGCAAACAGG
rnacentral:rRNA from 1 species